AGCUUACAGACAGUGUGUUUAUGGUUUUGCCCUUAUGCAUCCUUCAACCCUUACUCUGCUUCCUUCUCAUUUCGACGAUUGAUUUCUCACCUCUUCGAUUCCAUUUUCGAGCUAGCCCUAGGUCUCGUCACAAAGCCUUUCAUGGCAAGGUCAGUCUUCUUCUUGAUUCAUUCUUCUUCCCCUCUUCAAUUCUAAUUUAUUCGUUCUGAUUUUCUCAUAGCCCAAGUUCAUCGGCCUUGAUUUGCCGGAUGUCGCCAUGUAGAGGAGGGACAAGAAGAUCAUGGAGAUUUGCUCUAAUCUUCCUCAAAAUCAAUAAUCUGUAAGUUUUACCCUUUUCUGUAAAUCAGUAAUCACCAGUUAGAGUUUUUGUUUGUUCAAUCAACUCAUUUAGUUCCUCUUCGACAAUUUUGACAUCGAUUUUAUCCAAGUCACCUCAUUCGUUCAACUUCCAAGGAGUUUCUGGUACUUUCUUCUUAUCUCCCUCAAUUUAUGAUUUUUAAGAAUUUUCUAUGUAUUUAAAUUUCGAUUUUCUGGGUUUUGGUGUUUCAAAUUAGGGUUUAUAAUUUAGAUCGUCUAUCCUAUCCAACCUAUCUCAUUCGUUCGACUUCAAAGAAAUUUUAGGUAUUUUUCUUCUUAUCUUCCCUCAAGUCCUGAACUUUUUCAAAAUUUCUAGGUCUGUGUAUGUAAAUUUUGAUUUUUGGGGGGUUUUUGGUGCUUCAGAUUAGGGUUUAUAUUUCCGUUCAUGUAAAUAUAUUGAUCUUUUUGGGAGAGUUUUGGUGUUUCCGUUGAUGUGAUAUGAUUAUUUUGAAUUAAUUUUUAUUGUUAGUUGUGGUGGUAGGAAUAUCCCUAAAUGCGUAACUGGGGAUUUGGAGAUUAGUUUGUAUUUCUUAAAAUUGAAGUUCUUAUAUUAAGAUGAGCAGUAUUGGUGGCAGUUUGAAGGCCUAGAAUCCCUGGUUAUAAACAAUGUCAGAUGAAAAACUAAAUGAUAUUGUGGGGAGUGUGUGUACUAUGUCGCACCUGAAGUCCCCCAUAGAUCAUAUAGCCUAGAAGGAGAUAUAGGGAAUAUUUGUGUUAUCACAUACGAAGUAUAUAUUAUUAAUUUAUUAUUUGGAAGCAUGCCUUUCUGGCCACGGACAGAAUAUCAGGGAUUUUUCGUGCGGUGUUAAGAGAGGAUCCCAAUUUUGAUGAUUUGCCUUGGCCUUCUGUGUCUCCAGAAGCUAAGGGUUUUGUUAAAACAAUGCUUAACAAGGACUAGAGGAAGAGAAUGACUGCUGCCAAGCUUUGAGUAAGUUGGGAAACAUGAAGUUGGGAAACUAAUAUCAGGAUAGUAGAAGUUGGGAAACUAAAAUCAGAUUGAUAAGAUGUGCAUCUUUACUUGCGUUGUUGCUGUUGUUACUUUCUGGUUUUGCAUCCUGUUGAAUAUUUGUAGAGCUGUAACCUCCUUGUGCAAGUAUCCGUCUGUUUGGAGUUCUACUGAACAAUAAAAUGGUUACUCAUAUAUGCAAAAUAAAAUUAUGUACAAUUAAUCAAUAAUUGUACAACUCUUUUAUUCUGUACCACUCCAGCAGACAAUAUUCUAGCUCUUUGUCCUGUUUAAUAGCAUCAAUUAUCCAAAUCCUAUAUGUUUUACAAAAUUUAAGCAAUGCACCUGUUUCUUUAGCACUUGUGUGUGUUCUGAAGCCUAUAUUGCACGUUUGGACUCGCCAAGUGCAUGUUCGACAUGCUAGGGAGGACACAUACUUUUUUUAAUUAGUGUACAAAUAUUUGUAGAAUCUAUUUGCAAAUGAUGGAAAGAAGAAAAGUCACAAAGAAAAGUGUACAAAUAUUUGUGUACAAAGUCCAAGUCCAAGAUCGAUUUUUUAAUUAGUGUACAAAUAUUUGUAGAAUCUUGUUCACGAGGAGAAUUACAGAGAUUCUAAAAGGAAAUCCAAGAAGUUGGCAGGAAAAGACACAAUGCAGUUAUUAUGCACUCUUCUCCCAGUACAAUAAUAUGGUACUUCCUUCUAACUCAAUUUUUGUUUUGGUUUUUUAGUUUUCCAGCAAAGCUGUUGUUUGUCAAUUGGCUGAAACAAAUUCAAAGAUCGAUAUGUUGAACAAUAUAUAUCCCACAGAAGAGAUCAUGAAGGUGAUCCAAAGUAAUCUGCUAUGUUGCCGCAGGCUCUCCUGAAAUGCAAGUAUACUCAGCUAUACCAUCAGAGGGUAUCUCACCCAAUGAACUUCAGGAUGGCGAUUUUUGCCCGCCUUUAGGUCGUUGCCAUGUCAUGCAGCGCUGGCUUCUUUGGAUCCUUCUUUCGGAGAUUUUUGCCCGCCUUUAGGUCGUUGCCAUCUCCUGCAGCGCUGCGUUCUUUGGAUCCUUCUUUCGGAGGUUUUGCAGGGUUAUGUACCAAAUACCCAAUUGUUUACCUACCUUUGAUAAUCUGCCAGACCAUUGCAUAUGCCAAAUAUUAGGUUAUCAAGUUCAGUUCCUUAUAACAUUAGAUUGUCUAACAUCCAUUGUUAGCACGGAAACAAACAUCUGCUCCCCUAUGUCCAUACACUAAUUAGGCUCGGGCUUUGCUUAGCGCUUUGGUAAUUAACUUCUCUACCUUGUGAUGAUAAAUCAGUACAGCAAAUGUGAGGGAAUGUCUUGAUGGGAGGCUGCAAAUAUGGUUGUUGCGGAAGACAAAGGAAAGGGAUACAUAGAAGACAAGCUUGAGAAAUCAUGGGAUUUCUCCUCUACACAGAGUUCACUCCUUAACGUUUGAGAGUGUUUACAUGAUUCAAGUGUUCAAAGUGUUUCUAUUAGUGAUUUACAUGUUUUAGGUUGGGCCUUUUUUAUAAGCUUUACCAUCCUUUGUUAUGACAAUGUUGGUCAUCGGUUCUUGCGGUCUCUAUUCCACUCCCUAUUCCAUCCCUCACUCCCUUCAUUUCAUAAUUUAAGGCAUCUAUACCUUAUGAGAUUGGAUUUGAUCGUUCAUAUUAACAAAUACAUGAAAUCAUUGCUUAAUAUUCUACUAUUGAUAUAUUAGUAUUUGUAGGUAGUAUUCAUUAGUUCAUGUAUUGUUCGAAGUAAAUUCGCAAUUACACAUGUAGUUAACUUUUUCCA